UAGAGUUUGAUCAUGGCUCAGAUUGAACGCUGGCGGCAGGCUUAACACAUGCAAGUCGAGCGGGGGAAGUAGCUUGCUACUGGACCUAGCGGCGGACGGGUGAGUAAUGCUUAGGAAUCUGCCUAUUAGUGGGGGACAACAUUCCGAAAGGAAUGCUAAUACCGCAUACGUCCUACGGGAGAAAGCAGGGGACCUUCGGGCCUUGCGCUAAUAGAUGAGCCUAAGUCGGAUUAGCUAGUUGGUGGGGUAAAGGCCUACCAAGGCGACGAUCUGUAGCGGGUCUGAGAGGAUGAUCCGCCACACUGGGACUGAGACACGGCCCAGACUCCUACGGGAGGCAGCAGUGGGGAAUAUUGGACAAUGGGGGGAACCCUGAUCCAGCCAUGCCGCGUGUGUGAAGAAGGCCUUAUGGUUGUAAAGCACUUUAAGCGAGGAGGAGGCUACUAGUAUUAAUACUACUGGAUAGUGGACGUUACUCGCAGAAUAAGCACCGGCUAACUCUGUGCCAGCAGCCGCGGUAAUACAGAGGGUGCGAGCGUUAAUCGGAUUUACUGGGCGUAAAGCGUGCGUAGGCGGCCAUUUAAGUCAAAUGUGAAAUCCCCGAGCUUAACUUGGGAAUUGCAUUCGAUACUGGAUGGCUAGAGUAUGGGAGAGGAUGGUAGAAUUCCAGGUGUAGCGGUGAAAUGCGUAGAGAUCUGGAGGAAUACCGAUGGCGAAGGCAGCCAUCU
rnacentral:rRNA from 1 species